rnacentral:lncRNA from 1 species
ACUUCCAUAUCAUCAUUAGUACUUCUUCCAGCUGUGGGAUCUGUCACUUUGUCUUCAAUAGUUCUAGCUAGUUCAUUCUCUUUACAUUGUUUCAAAGCAUUAAUGACAUCUCUUCAUGAUGCUGUAGGAUUAACUUGUAACCAUCUCUUAUGUAAAGCCAUUUUCAUGAGGAAGACAAAGAGCAAAUGGUUUCCAGUCAACAAGUGGUUUAAGACACUUUGCAAAUAAGAGACAA